CCCUUGGUGGUGUAGCGGUAGAGCACGCGUCCUCGGCUAGGAUGAAACGUGUGGUUCGAUUCCGGACUUGGAGA